rnacentral:rRNA from 1 species
AUUGAACGCUGGCGGCAGGCUUAACACAUGCAAGUCGAACGGAACCUUCGGGUUUAGUGGCGAACGGGUGAGUAAUACCUAGGAAUCUGCCUAUUAGUGGGGGAUAACGGCUCGAAAGGGUCGCUAAUACCGCAUACGUCCUACGGGAGAAAGAGGGGGAUCUUCGGACCUCUUGCUAAUAGAUGAGCCUAGGCCGGAUUAGCUAGUUGGUAGGGUAAAGGCCUACCAAGGCGACGAUCCGUAGCUGGUCUGAGAGGAUGAUCAGCCACACUGGAACUGAGACACGGUCCAGACUCCUACGGGAGGCAGCAGUGGGGAAUAUUGGACAAUGGGGGAAACCCUGAUCCAGCAAUGCCGCGUGAAUGAAGAAGGCCUUAGGGUUGUAAAGUUCUUUUGUCCGUGACGAUAAUGACGGUAGCGGACGAAUAAGCCCUGGCUAACUCUGUGCCAGCAGCCGCGGUAAAGUACAGUGU